UAGGGAAAGCAGGGGCUGGACCCCAGCUGUCACCUCUGAGGAUAUCAUCCUUUCCCUGGAGCUCCUCCAGAGACUGAACAAGCACCGAAGCCAGCAGCCACACUGUGCUGUCCUCCGUCCUACUCUUCUGCCUCAGGAGGGGAGAAACAUAUGGGGAAUCUGAGGCUCAGAGGGCUGAGAAUCUGGUCCCAGGUCACACAGAUACAAGGCCAGGGUCAGGACUUCAGUCCAGGUCAUCGGUGACCCUUUAUGCCACUCUGCAGCACCCCGACACCGUGAUGAACAGUGAUGGCUGCACAAGCAAGGGGACCGGAGUUUGGAACCCCGGAAUCUCCAUAAAAACCAGGCAUGACAGCCUACGCCUGUAAUCCUGACCGUGGGGAGGCAAAGACAGAAGAUCCCGGGGGUUUCCACCCAGCACGCCAUUCUAGAUGCCUGGUUCAGUGAGCCAGAGGCUUCCGCCUGAAUCCUGGUUUGGCUGUGUAGAAACAACGUCACAUGUGGAACACACAGGAGUCAUGUUAAAUGCCAUAUACUCAAGGCUCCAAUGCCACCCUAUUAUUUUCCCCACUGUGCAGAUGUGAGAAGUGGGGAUUAAUGUUUCACGGGCCUCACAAGGUGACUUAGAGUUUCCCCCCUUUCCUAGCAAAAAUUUCUUUCUUCCUUUUCUUUUUCUUCUACUUUCUUUCCUUUUUCUGUAAAUUAAAAUUGGUCAGAU